rnacentral:rRNA from 1 species
CCUACGGGAGGCAGCAGUAGGGAAUAUUGCUCAAUGGGGGAAACCCUGAAGCAGCAACGCCGCGUGGAGGAUGAAGGUUUUCGGAUUUUAAACUCCUUUUGUUAGAGAAGAUAAUGACGGUAUCUAACGAAUAAGCCCCGUCUAACUCCGUGCCAGCAGCCGCGGUAAUACGGAGGGUGCAAGCGUUACUCGGAAUCACUGGGCGUAAAGAGCGCGUAGGCGGGAUAGCAAGUCAGAUGUGAAAUCCUAUGGCUUAACCAUAGAACUGCAUUUGAAACUGGUAUUCUAGAGUAUGGGAGAGGUAGGGGGAAUUCUUGGUGUAGGGGUAAAAUCCGUAGAGAUCAAGAGGAAUACUCAUUGCGAAGGCGACCUGCUAGAACAUAACUGACGCUGAUGCGCGAAAGCGUGGGGAGCAAACAGGAUUAGAUACCCGAGUAGUC